rnacentral:rRNA from 1 species
UNGGNNGGGNNCGNUNCUGCAACUUUCCCCCCAAAACUAUGGCANACCCCCGCCCCACCGCCGCCCCUCUCNAACCCCCCCCCCCCCNUUUGNCUUGGGGGCGGCUCGGCCCNUUUCCCNCCNCCCNCCCCGGGCCCGGAAAAGUUUUGCCCCGUUUGUGUGAACGCUUGUUUUUCCACGCGACCCUCUGGCCCCGGCGUUCCCCCCGGGGGUCAACCUUUUCCGCGCCAGCGCCCCCGGGGCGGGCGCACAACUUNAACCGGCUUCCCUGGGCGGCACUGCAUUGGCCAUAAGCCAAUGGCCCAUCACCGAGUUUGCAUCGUUUACAGCUGGGACUACCCGGGUAUCUAAUCCGGUUUGCUCCCCCAGCUUUCAUCCCUCACCGUCGAACGUGUUCUGGCAGACCGCCUUCGCCACUGGUGGUCCUCAUGGUCAGAGGAUUUUACCCCUACCCACUGAAUACCGUCUGCCUCUCCCACUCCCUAGCUCUGUAGUAUCUCCAGCGGCCCAUCUGUUGAGCAGGUGGAUUUAACCGAAGACUUGCAGAGCCGGCUAC